rnacentral:rRNA from 1 species
AACGAACGCUGGCGGCAUGCCUAACACAUGCAAGUCGAACGAGACCUUCGGGUCUAGUGGCGCACGGGUGCGUAACGCGUGGGAAUCUACCCUUGGGUUCGGAAUAACAGUUAGAAAUGACUGCUAAUACCGGAUGAUGACGUAAGUCCAAAGAUUUAUCGCCCAAGGAUGAGCCCGCGUAAGAUUAGCUUGUUGGUGGGGUAAUGGCCUACCAAGGCGACGAUCUUUAGCUGGUCUGAGAGGAUGAUCAGCCACACUGGGACUGAGACACGGCCCAGACUCCUACGGGAGGAAGCAGUGGGGAAUAUUGGACAAUGGGCGAAAGCCUGAUCCAGCAAUGCCGCGUGAGGGAUGAAGGCCUUAGGGUUGUAAAGCUCUUUUACCAGGGAUGAUAAUGACAGUACCUGGAGAAUAAGCCCCGGCUAACUCCGUGCCAGCCGCCGCCGUAA